UAGUAUUCUCCCCCGUGCGUCCAUUGGACUGGGUGGCGGGGUAGUGUCUCUUCAGCUGUGUUGGGCUUUGGGAGGCCGCAUAGAAGUCUCUCUUGGUCAUACAUGGCUAGGGCAUGUCCAGAUCCACUUGGUGGGUGGGUGGGUCGCCCGCCCUUGGCUUGUUGCCUGGGGUGAUCAACGUCGUGUUGGCUCUUCUAUCAUAUGGAGGCCAACGACAACAUGCUGGCGUAGACGUCCUUGUCCGCUUGGGCAAGAUCGAGCUGGUCCGCAGGUGGCGGGGUGGUCUUGAGAGGAGGAGGAGGAGAAGGGCUUCUUGUCCUUCGCAUUCCCCUUCCAUGCAUGCUCGGGCCAUCUGUAGUAAGUGGGCCUCGACGAUUUGAUGUGAGUCGAGGAGGUCUUUCGUGGACCUGGCAUGGACCUAAACCUUCACGCGGUGCCCCUGUUCGUACUGAUUAGGUCUAUAACAUCAAUCCUAGGUGUUCCAAUGGGUUAUGAGAUAACUCUCAACAAUGGAUCUCUAGGCUCUUGCAUCGAUGAAGAACGCAGUGAACUGCGAUAACUGGUGUGAGUUGCACGGCACCUCUAAUCUAACACCAAGCGAAUCAUCGAGUCUUUGAACGCAAACGGCACCCUUCCAGUCCAUUCCAAAGCGGUGGCGGCGGAUGAAGACAAGGGUAUCUCUGGUUGAGGGCGAUGAGAAUCGAUCCAGGCUUGAAUCAUCGGCCUGGGGAUUGGGCUUGCUUGGGGAGUGAGGGCGCACUCUUGGCUUGUCUUAAAAUCACCGUUGUGUUGAUUGAACUUUCAAGCAUGCAUUGGGGACGCAGGCUCUGCGCUAUAAGGCCAAAGCCCUUGACUGUCAUGGUGCAUGAUUGGACUUCAGCCAGCCAAACCGUUUUUUUUUUGUCCAUUGUGACGUUAUGCCUC
rnacentral:rRNA from 1 species